GAUGAAGAACGCAGUGAAAUGCGAUAAGUAAUGUGAAUUGCAGAAUUCAGUGAAUCAUCGAAUCUUUGAACGCACAUUGCGCCCGCCAGUAUUCUGGCGGGCAUGCCUGUUCGAGCGUCAUUUCAACCAUCAAGCCCCCGGCUUGUGUUGGGGACCUGCGGCUGCCGCAGGCCCUGAAAAGCAGUGGCGGGCUCGCUGUCACACCGAGCGUAGUAGCAUACAUCUCGCUCUGGGCGUGCUGCGGGUUCCGGCCGUUAAACCACCUUCAUAACCCAAGGUUGACCUCGGAUCAGGUAGGAAUACCCGCUGAACUUAAGCAUAUCAAUAAGCGGAGGA
rnacentral:misc_RNA from 1 species